CACUCCUACGGGAGGCAGCAGUGGGGAAUUUUGGACAAUGGGCGAAAGCCUGAUCCAGCAAUGCCGCGUGAGUGAAGAAGGCCUUCGGGUUGUAAAGCUCUUUUGUCAGGGAAGAAACGGUGAGAGCUAAUAUCUUUUGCUAAUGACGGUACCUGAAGAAUAAGCACCGGCUAACUACGUGCCAGCAGCCGCGGUAAUACGUAGGGUGCAAGCGUUAAUCGGAAUUACUGGGCGUAAAGCGUGCGCAGGCGGUUUUGUAAGUCUGAUGUGAAAUCCCCGGGCUCAACCUGGGAAUUGCAUUGGAGAGUGCAAGGCUAGAAUCUGGCAGAGGGGGGUAGAAUUCCACGUGUAGCAGUGAAAUGCGUAGAUAUGUGGAGGAACACCGAUGGCGAAGGCAGCCCCCUGGGUCAAGAUUGACGCUCAUGCACGAAAGCGUGGGGAGCAAACAGGAUUAGAUACCCGGGUAGUCCCAUG
rnacentral:rRNA from 1 species